rnacentral:rRNA from 1 species
GACGAACGCUGGCGGCGUGCCUAAUACAUGCAAGUUGAGCGAUGAAGAUUGGUGCUUGCACCAAUUUGAAGAGCAGCGAACGGGUGAGUAACGCGUGGGGAAUCUGCCUUUGAGCGGGGGACAACAUUUGGAAACGAAUGCUAAUACCGCAUAAUAACUUUAAACAUAAGUUUUAAGUUUGAAAGAUGCAAUUGCAUCACUCAAAGAUGAUCCCGCGUUGUAUUAGCUAGUUGGUGAGGUAAAGGCUCACCAAGGCGAUGAUACAUAGCCGACCUGAGAGGGUGAUCGGCCACAUUGGGACUGAGACACGGCCCAAACUCCUACGGGAGGCGGCAGUAGGGAAUCUUCGGCAAUGGACGAAAGUCUGACCGAGCAACGCCGCGUGAGUGAAGAAGGUUUUCGGAUCGUAAAAAUCUGUUGGUAGAGAAGAACGUUGGGGGGAGUGGAAAGCUCAUAAAGUGACGGUAACUACCCAGAAAGGGACGGCUAACUACGUG